ensembl:lncRNA
GCGUCUUCAUAGACAUCUGGAGAAGACUACAGAACAAGCACUGAAGGACUUGGAAGAGCAUAGUUCACCAAAAUCAUACAGUGAACUUUGUAAAGCUACCAUGGCAAAUGUAAUACUAUUUAACAGGAGAAGAGGGGGAGAAAUUUCAAAGAUGACACUGAAUGGCCUUCCAGGAGAGAGACACUAGUACCCUGCACAAGGAUGUUGCAAUUGGACUGACAAAAUUUGAACUUUACCUUUGUCAACACUUCAGUCGUGUAGAAUUGAGGGGUAAACGAGGACGCAAGGUUGCAGUGCUACUUUCACCAGACAUGGUGAAUGCCAUAACACGGCUGACAGAGAAAAGACAAGACUGUGGUGUUCUGGCAGAAAACAUAUUCCUGUUUGCCAGACCUCAUUGUCUGACUCCCUACAGAGGACAGGACUGUUUGAGGAUUUAUGCGACUGAAUGUGGGGCUGAAAACCCUGAACACCUACGUUCAACGCAGUUGCGCAAACAUGUCGCAACUUUGUCUCAGAUCUUAAACCUCAAGAAUCACGAGUUAGACCAAGUUGCCAACUUCCUAGGUCAUGAUAUUCGUGUUCAUCGCGAAUAUUAUAGACUUCCAGAGGCUACUACCCAGCUUGCCAAAAUAUCCAAACUACUGAUUGCCAUGGAGAAAGGGUCUCUCAAAAGCCUUCAAGGCAAAACACUUGAAGAGAUUGAAAUCGAAGAUAACCUACAGUUGACAGAUUCAAGUGAAGAAAGUGAGGUCGGAGCGGAGCGUGAGGAGGUCGGAGCGGAGCGUGAGGAGGUCGGAGCGGAGCGUGAGGAGGUCGGAGCGGAGCGUGAGGAGGUCGGAGCGGAGCGUGAGGUCAAUGAAGGAAAUCUUGUAUAUCCACAGAUUGAUUCUAUAGAUACUAGAAUGAUGAAGAAAGUUGUCAAGGAACCUCCAGCACAAAGUAAAAAUGGAGCGGGUAAGGUCAUUGAACCCAACAGAAUACUAAACAAGGAGAUGAAGCCAAGCAGUAAGAAGAAAACAAAUGAACAAUCUGCUUCUCUGGAAAAUGCAAGGAGGGUCAAAAAGCAUCCUUGGUCUCCCACGGAGGUUGCUGCGAUAAUGAAUUAUUUUGGCGAACAUAUCAAAAAAGGAAAACUGGCCACUAUUAUCGAAUGCCAGCAAUGCAAAACUGCAGAAGAUCCUGCUCUGGCUGGUCGUUCUAUUCAAAACAUCAGAGAUUUUGUGAGGAAUCGGGGCGUGUCGUUGAAG